rfam:Trichomonas vaginalis G3, whole genome shotgun sequence.
UCACGAUGGAGGAUGUGUAACAGCCACCAUACUGAUAGACUUGCUCUGUCUUACGGCUGUGGGAAAGUCUGAGAGCGCUAAUUGUUUUCUUGGCGGAACAUGCGGUGAACGCAUUGCUUGGAACCAGUAACGAGCCCAUAUAAUGGCAAGCCCUGCGAAGACCCAUUUGGGAUGGAACGGCUAAGCACGCUGCGUUUGUGAGUGAGAUACAUGUCGCCGGAUUCGUCCGGAAACUCGAUUCAGAUUACUCCUGUUCGUGA